UGUUCGCUCCAACGAUCCUUAUAUCGGUGUUGGUUGCUUUGGAAUACAAAGCGGGAAAACCCUUUUUCGGUAAUGGAAAACAUGACCAGAAACAGCAGUAAAACUAAAAACAAAUCGCUGGACAAGAAAAGCUCGACACGCCACACGGACGAGCGCCUAGCCUUGUGGCCUCGCAGCCGGCCCACCUUGCCCGCAAUGCGCGAAGUUUUCUUAUCGGACGAUGCAAACUGAGCCCAUUUCGUACACAACGCAACCAGUACGCCGGCGGGCGGUGCCUCGGCGCAGAGGUGCUACCUCGUCCGGUGGCCGGAGGCCUGGAAGGGGAUCAGCUCGGGAUGCAUCGGUGACCCGUGCUCUGAUUCCGCAGCUUCCCGCAAGAGGCCGAUUAUUCAACUCGCCGUGACCCGGCGCAGCGGCGGCGCAGAGUGCGCUGCCCGCGGCGCCCGCGGAGGGAGGCUAGGGAAGCAGGGCCGUCGACGCGCGCUCCCAAGUUGUAGUCAAGUAGACCGGCCCAAGAGAAGAAAAAGAGGACUAGCCCUGGCGCAGAGGCUCCUCGGAGUUCGGAGUGCACUGCGUGCGCCGGUGGAAUGAUGCUAGGGAAGCACGGCUAUUGAGUUGUUGACGUGCGCUCCCAAGCGUAUCAGUGGUCUGGUCAAGGAACAUUCUGAGGGCAAGAAUGGACAUUUAUAGCUCAAGAAACCUGGUGCUCUGUUACAUGAUUUCGUAAGAUUUUGCAAGUUGUACUAAUGAAUCUACCAGCGUAAGAUUUUGCAUCACACUGAAAUUUUGCAUGUACACAGAGCAGCUUGUCUGUAGGAACCGUCCUGCAAGAAAGGAAGAGGCCAAGGAGAUGAUCUGCACAAGGGCAAGGCUAAGGGAAGGUAUGUGCAAGUGCAAUAUCAAAUUAAGGCUGGGUGUUAUGCCCCUUUUCGGAGAAAAAGGGAAGGUCUGUAAAAACUGGAGGGGCUGCAUAGUUUUCUUGUAAAACUAUCAUGACGCUUCUUCUUCAGAUGGUUGCUUCUAUCAACAAGGAGGCCCUCCUCGGACGCCCUUCUGGAGUUCUUUACCGACUACGGAGUAGUCACUUUUUUGCACUUAAUGGUGUGACAUGCAGCUUGCUUGUUGUGGAUAAAUAAGGGAUACCCCCUCUGAUGUGCCCUGACUAUGUAAUGCGUCAAAGGUCUAGUCAAGGAAGACUUCGGAGUCCGGUAGCAAAAAAGGGGCAUGUUUGUAGCCUCAUGGAUGCGGUGACCUGGUGUUCUUUGCCUCUUUUGUCAUGCCGGCGUUGCCUGGUGCGUACGUCUGCUGUUGUUUUCCGUUCCCUCGGCUUCAAGUAGUCAGGAUAGCGUACGAGGACUUGCAAUGGCAGGGUGGUUGAUUGCAACAGGCCGGAAUUCGGGCUGGUUGCUGGCCAGUUUAGUUGAACACAUAGCUGGUGUAAAGAGUUUGUAUUUCUUUUGGGGUAUUAGUUAUGUUUUAGAUGAUGCUGUUUUGACGCUCUGUUCCCAGCGUAGAGUGAUGAGCAAAAGAAUCACUGUACAUGUGGAUAAUAAUAUAGUUCUGGUUGAGAAAAAUAGCAAAAGUUUUUGUGAGA